AUGUAUUUUUUUCAUGUACUGUACCCUGCGUCAUUUUCAGCUACAAAUACUUUCCAAAUAACAGUUUACAUUGGUUCCGCGGCCACAGUUUUCACGGUGAUCGUACUUCUUGUGUUCUUAUGGAUGUGGAAGAUCCCGUGCAAAUUAUGGCAAAGGACUGCUGUGGACAUAGAGGACGAUCAAAACUCAGUCUUAUCCAGAAAAAGGACCAGUAAUGACCCAGCCACACAGGAAACUAGAACAGAGGAACAGGAAAAUGCCCUCUAUGCCAACGUUCAACUGCCUCCCUCUCACACCCACCACCAAGACAGUUCUCUGUACUCUGUGGUCGAGCCACCAGCUCUGCAGAACCCUCCUGAACCUCAUUACGCUACCUUUGACUUCCAGCAGUUCCGCAGCUCCAUCGACGGGGCCCAAUUCUCCAGAUGCCAUAAAGAGGAUGAUGUUAUAUACUCCACAGUGAAAGCCAUAAAGGCCAACGUGACAGACAACCUCCAGUACGCCAGCAUCCAUUUCCCCCUCCCCAGUCCUACUACCAGGCUGGAAGAAAGUUUAGAGGUGGACCAUUCUGUUAUCUACUCCACUGUUGCCAAACCAGAAGCCUGA
rnacentral:lncRNA from 1 species